rnacentral:rRNA from 1 species
UGGGGAAUUUUGGACAAUGGGCGCAAGCCUGAUCCAGCAAUGCCGCGUGCAGGAUGAAGGCCUUCGGGUUGUAAACUGCUUUUGUACGGAACGAAACGGCUCUGUCUAAUACAUGGGGCUAAUGACGGUACCGUAAGAAUAAGCACCGGCUAACUACGUGCCAGCAGCCGCGGUAAUACGUAGGGUGCGAGCGUUAAUCGGAAUUACUGGGCGUAAAGCGCGCGCAGGCGGUUGUGUAAGUCAGAUGUGAAAUCCCCGGGCUCAACCUGGGAACUGCAUUUGAGACUGCACGGCUAGAGUGUAGCAGAGGGGGGUAGAAUUCCACGUGUAGCAGUGAAAUGCGUAGAGAUGUGGAGGAAUACCGAUGGCGAAGGCAGCCCCCUGGACCUGUACUGACGCUCAUGCACGAAAGCGUGGGGAGCAAACA